CCGGACCCCAAGCAGACCCAGGGAAGCCUAUGAAAACCUCAGCUGCCAGGACUCAGGAGGGAGAAUGUCAGCGAGGCUCUGCCAGUGUGGCCGGGUGAGCCCCUGAGGCAGGAAGACUUACAAAGUGCAGGUGGAAGCCGGCCUUGGGGUGAGAGAGAGAGGAACAGAGAGAGGAGGAAGAGGGAAGGGAAGGAGGAGAGGGCCUUUCCCAACGGACACAUUUGCUUUGCCGCAUGAUGCUACCGGUUUCUAAGUUACAAAGCAGGAAAAGGGAAUUUGAAAAAAGCACCGUCUCUGAAGCCCUUCAGGACUGGCUUGGGAAGAGAACGAGGAGGAGCUGGGGAAGGAGAGGUGUGAACGGCCCCCAGUAAUUUGGAGAGAGGAAGAGAUAAACGGGGGCCUGGUGGGGGGCUAGAAAGGCGAGAAGAGAAGCCUCAGUUACUCCCCAAGCCGGCAUUGGGUUUCACUAAAGCCCCUUAUCGGCCUCGGGUCGAUGUUAUCGCACCUGAAAAUGGUAAAUCGUUUAUGUAACGUUUGCUGGUUCACACGCUGCGGGUGCUGCGCCUUGGCAGGAUGCGAGGCGGGCCGCAGGCGGGGGCUCGGGAGGCUCGUUUCCCAGCGGCGGAGCCUUAGCUCCGGCUCCCGGGUGGGAGGUGGAGGCGGCAGCGGUGGGUGCUGCUUCGGCGGCUCUUCCAGUUUUUCUGUGCCUGUGUGUGCGUGUGUGCGUGUGUGUGUGUGUGUGUGUGUGUGUGUGUGUGUGCGCGCGCGCGCGCGCCAAUGGCUCCGGCUUCCCCAGUGGGAGAGGAGUUUUCACCAGCGCCUGGCUCUCCUCUGCUGGGCCUGAGCUGGAUAGAGCGGGGCCGAGCUUACCUUGCCUGGCACCCUAGCGCCCCUUCAGCAUCUGCGGAGCAGCCUUAAGACCAAUUCACCGGCGGCUCGUUUUAGCCGGAGCUGACAAUCGGUGCUCCGCUGGAGCUUGCGCUUAGGGGCAGAUGCUGCACCUCCGACUCACCUGCUGCAAGUUUGCACGUUAGGGUAUUUCCCCCCCUGCGUUUUGUCCUGCUGUGAUUCUCAGUGAACUAGAUUUAGAGCUCAGUUCCAAAGACUAGAACCAGUGGGCUUAUUCCUCCCCUUCCUAAGAAUUCAUUCACAGAAGCCACUGCCGACCUCCCCACCCCGCCGUGCCUUCCUCUCCUCUCCCGGCCUUUUUCCCUUUUGCCUUUUUAGCUACUGGCUUCAGGGCCUGGGAUGGAGCUCUGUCGCCAUCUAACGCCAACAAGUGGGAAGUGCACCCUCCCCUCGGGCCGCAAUUCCCAGCAAGAGAUUGGCCCGGAGAGACAGCCCAGGCCCGAAAGGGCUCAGCACGUGCGGUGCCCAGGCGUCCCCUCUCCUGAGUGAGCGUCAGAGCCACGGUGCCCACCUUGAGCACGCGGUGUCUGUGUUGGCAGCCAGGUAUCACGUGUCCACAAAUGGCUGUGAGAAGAGAGAAGGGUUACAAAUGAACGCCAGUGAGAGCGAAUUUCCAACUGUGGAACUCAUGAAAAAACUUUUAAGAAGACCGGCAAUGUGUUGAUGAAGCCAAUAUUCAUUUUUAAGAUCCGCUGAUCCUGGAUAAGGUUAACUUCUAAAAAUUUAAUUUUAGGUUUUAUUCAGUAUGAAAAUGUUUAAAAUCAGGUGCCCGCAGUGCACCCCAGUAACUCCAGCACUUUGGGAGGCUGAGGCAGGACGAUCAAAGUCUUGAAAUAAGAAAUAAACAAGCAGCUGGGGGUGCUGUUUAAUUGCAGGCCCUGAGUUUAAUCCCCGCUACUGCAGGAGAGAAGAAAUAACUGCUUCGGACAGAGUCCUAACAAGAGCGCGUUUUGGAGAUAGCUUCUGCCCUCUUUCUCCCCCGGAGGUUGCGCGGGAGGCAAGCGUUUCACUUGGGGCUGCCGUUCUGUCCUGGGGGCUGUCCUGCGAAGGUUCCCGUGAAGUGGUUCCUUUUUCUGUUUUUGCAACAGGGAAGGGUUGCUAAACCUGAGUGAGGCUGGGACACUGUCCUGCGGCUCGGCCAGGAAGGCGUGGGGCCUUGUGAUGGACGCGCUCGAGGACUCCAGUGAGAGUGCUCUGACCCCUCCGCUGCAGGCCUCCUCAGGGCCUCCCGGGACUCCUGGCCAUCUGGAAGCCCCAAGGUGCAGAGUGUGCCCCGUGGAAUUGGUGUGGCCCCUGAAAGAAGACCCUAUGUGCCUGGACUGGCCAGUACUCACGCUCCCCAGCCCUGUAAUGGACACUGAGCAAAUCAACAGAGAGAGGAAAGGUU